UAGUUUCUCCAGGAGUUGUCAUACAGGGAUCAUCAGAGCUGCUUCCUGGAAACUGCUGGUCCUUUGCUGGUCAGCAAGGACACAUUACUAUUAACCUGUCUCACAAAGUUCCCAUCAGCCAUGUGACUCUGGGUCACAUAUUGAAGUCGGUGUCUCCAUCUGGCACCACACCAAGUGCACCUAAGGAGUUUUCUGUCUAUGGAAAGAAAACAGUAGAAGAUGAGGGAACUCUUCUUGGAACCUUUACAUAUGAUAAUGAUGGAGACCAGUUCCAAACUUUUAAAA